CUGGUUUCUCCAUUGCGAAGCUUCAGCCUUUGAUGGUUUGGGUCCUGGGAGUCUGACUAUGAAGGCCAACCAGAACAGUGAAUGGGAAGAGGCUUACAUCAACUCAGGCCGAACUGGUUGGUUCGGUGCAUUCGUGGUAAUGAUUGGCUUAGGCAUCAUUUAUGGCUUGGUCCUAUAUUAAUGAAGUCUAGGCAUAGCAACCCAGGGGUCCGCUCCCCAACCGAGCCACUCACCAAACACUAACCAGCCAAGUCAGCCAUCAGGCAAGAAAUUCAACCGCUGAGACAUCUAGCCAAGAAAUCCUCUAACCAAGGAACUCAACAUUCAAGAAACCCACCAACCCAGGAACACACAGACCACCUGCCUGUGCUACUUCAACUCACUCAGCUCCAGAGCUGUCUUCGUUCACCCUAGGGGUCCACACUUCAUGCCCUAGAUCCCUUUAGCUCCUUGACACUGGGCUGUUCUUUCAGAGGAAUUUUAAACCAAAAAACUGGAAUGGAAUGUUCUGGUUUCCUGUGGUGUGUGUGUAUGUGUGUGUGUCAACAUGCCCAUGAUUGUUUUCUGGGUCAGUGGUCAGUAUCUGUGUUUCCCUGGAGCUGUUUCCUAGACUGUGAAAAUCAGAAUGUCCCAAUGGGGAAGCCCACAGACAUAGAAUUCAGGCAGAUGUCAGUUAAAAACUUACCUCUGACACUGAAAAACUGUAUAGCCCUGAACAGAUACUUUUCUUGAGCAUAGUUCCUUUGUCUCUAAAGCAGGCAUAAUUGCCAAUGUGGGGAUGAUAUUUAGAAAUCUGAACUGAUGUUUAUUCUCUAGGGGUCUUCUCAUUUGAGCUGGGAUUGGAGAUGUCUAGUGUCUCAGAGCAGCAAUAAG
rnacentral:lncRNA from 1 species